rnacentral:rRNA from 1 species
UACGAAGGGGGCUAGCGUUGCUCGGAAUCACUGGGCGUAAAGGGUGCGUAGGCGGGUCUUUAAGUCAGGGGUGAAAUCCUGGAGCUCAACUCCAGAACUGCCUUUGAUACUGAGGAUCUUGAGUUCGGGAGAGGUGAGUGGAACUGCGAGUGUAGAGGUGAAAUUCGUAGAUAUUCGGAGGAACACCAGUGGCGAAGGCGGCUCUCUGGUACAUGACUGACGCUGAGACGCGAAAGCGUGGGUAGCAAACAGG